rnacentral:rRNA from 1 species
ACGGGUGAGUAACGCGUGGGAAUCUACCCAUCCCUACGGAACAACUCCGGGAAACUGGAGCUAAUACCGUAUACGCCCUUUGGGGGAAAGAUUUAUCGGGGAUGGAUGAGCCCGCGUUGGAUUAGCUAGUUGGUGGGGUAAAGGCCUACCAAGGCGACGAUCCAUAGCUGGUCUGAGAGGAUGAUCAGCCACAUUGGGACUGAGACACGGCCCAAACUCCUACGGGAGGCAGCAGUGGGGAAUAUUGGACAAUGGGCGCAAGCCUGAUCCAGCCAUGCCGCGUGAGUGAUGAAGGUCUUAGGAUUGUAAAGCUCUUUCACCGGAGAAGAUAAUGACGGUAUCCGGAGAAGAAGCCCCGGCUAACUUCGUGCCAGCAGCCGCGGUAAUACGAAGGGGGCUAGCGUUGUUCGGAAUUACUGGGCGUAAAGCGCACGUAGGCGGAUAUUUAAGUCAGGGGUGAAAUCCCAGAGCUCAACUCUGGAACUGCCUUCGAUACUGGGUAUCUUGAGUAUGGAAGAGGUAAGUGGAAUUGCGAGUGUAGAGGUGAAAUUCGUAGA